rnacentral:miRNA from 10 species
UCUUACUACAAUGUCUUUUGAC